UUACAUACUGAGACACUGAUCGUAUAACCAGCAACCCAUACAUAGCCUGACGCUUUUCCUCAACAUCUCCACCCUUCAGGGACAACCCCACUAGCCGCUAUCACAUAACAACUGUUGGGUUUUGAGCAAUCUAACACUUCCUAAGUGUGCAUGGAACCCUAAUAAACCUUGGAUCUAUGUUUGUCUAAAUACAUGCAAAAUAAUAAUUUUCCAAGGUUUAUAACCUAUCUAACAUGGCAUGGGGAACAUUUCAACAUAAAAGAGUUAGAAGAGAUUACAUACCUUUUGUGUGUUGGGUUCUUAGGAGUUUGAGGGCCAAGCACCAAUAGUGUGAAUGCCUCAAAUGGAAUCACAAACACCACAAACUCUUGGAAAACUUUGAGAGAGUAUAUACACCUUGUAUAAAUCGGCCACACACAUGCACACACACACUAGAUCACUAGCUUUCUCUCUUAGGCUAUCUUAGGCUCCAUUUCAUGCUCCAUAAGCAUGCUUAUAUAGUAUGCAUGGUUAGGGUGAAACCCUAAUAACCCAUGUCUUUUCCUUUUCCAAGGAUCCAUGGGUUAAAAGCUCCAUGGAUCAUCCAUGGACUUCCACAUAAGCCUAGCCCAUUAACAAAUGAGUAUUAGCCCACACUAUAUAAAACAAAUAGCCCAUAAUUUAAUUAGUAUUCCUUUUAAUCUCUAAAUUAAUCCAUAAUUAAUUUAAGACUAAAACUAAUUAAAUAACGUAACUUCAUAUUAAUAUAUUAUAACUCAUAAUAUAUUAAUAAACAUAUGUGUAUAACUCUCAUAAAAUUAUCCAUAAUAGUUUGGAUGAGAUGCAACCCAAAUGGACCAUGCCGGUCGGGUCAAGUAUAUACCAAAUAAGUUAUGGACUUAGACACCUUAUCCAACAGACUCCCACUUGGAUAAGUCUAAUAACUAUAUUUGCCUAUAACUUCAGGAACCAACCAACAAUCGUAGCUCUCGAAAACUCCCUCGAACAAUGAAGACUCUGUCGAACUAUGAAGCGCCAUUUUAGAUAAGUGAUCACAUAAUCCUCUGUUCUCAUGAUAUCAGCCGGACAAACACAUGGAACUAUGUCUUGCUUAUUGUCUAGCAGUUGUUUCUCGAUUAUCCGAUUUGUUUGACGAAGAACUUCACUGAACACAUCGGUUUAGUUCUGACCAGGCCUGGUAUAUGGGUCAACACAAAAUCAUCGAGGGGCCCGGAUAUCGCUUCUAUUUCUAGAAGGAACAGAUAAACUUCGACUGAUAUGCUUGUUCUACUACUUAUUGAAUUGUACACAAAGGCACGUUUUAUAACAUCAAGUUACUGAUGCGUUUACGUGCAAUCAAUGCACAACCAACUCAUAGGUAACAACUCAUAUCUCUAGGUUUAAAGAUUUAUAUGAUGUUAUCGUCUCACGAUCACUCGAGAUAAAUUCCAUGAAGUGAUACAAGUGAGCGUGGGUUUAUACCAAUACUCAUAACUUAUGAGUACUCAUGAAUGUUGCAGCAACCAUUGCCAUGCCUAAACACCUUUAAGGCAUCUACAAACCCAAUUCAUGACAAUCUUGAUUCAUACCUACUUCCGACGUAUGAUCGAUUGUGGAGGUUUGAACAAAUUAAUUAUUCUGGAAGUCAAAACAUGCAAAACUGAAACAAUAGUAAAUAAUUGACAAUGAUAGUAACACUUUACUCAUAAAUAAAUCACAAAUUUUAUUCAUCAUCAAACGUCGAUUACAUUUUACAAGUUUCAGGAAAACUAUCUAAUCUGUAAAACUAAUAUCGUCCCUCAGCCCGAUGCGUCUCGCAUGCUGAAAAUGCUUAACCCUCGUCAGUCCCUUCGUAAGGGGAUCUGCAGGAUUCUCAUCUGACGAUAUCCUCCUUGUCACAAGGAGUCCUUCUUCAAUCUUGUGCCUUAUGAAGUGAUAUUUUCUGUCAAUGUGUCGGGAUCUGCCAUGAUCUCUUGGUUCCUUGGCUAAGAUAACCGCAGCAUUGUUGUCACAGAAAAUCUCUAUAGGUUCCUUAAUAGCUGGUACAACUCCAAGGUCUCCGAUGAAGUUCUUUAGCCAUAUCGCCUCCUUCGCUGCUUCACUCGCUGCUAUAUACUCUGAUUCACAAGUCGAAUCAGCCACCGUCUCCUGCUUGGAACUCUUCCAAGAAAUUGCCCCUCCAUUUAAGGUAAAGAUCCAGCCCGACUGAGAGCGGAAAUUAUCCCUAUCAGUCUGAAAACCAGCAUCACUAUACCCUAAUAUUCUCAAGUCAUCACUGCCACCAAGGGUAAGGACCCAAUCCUUAGUCCUCCGCAGGUACUUGAGAAUGUUCUUUACCGCGGUCCAAUGAGCCUUGCCAGGGUUCCCCUGAUACCUGCUGACCAUGCUCAAAGCAAAUGCCACAUCAGGACGGGUACAAGUCAUAGCAUACAUGAUCGAGCCAACUGCGGAAGCAUAUGGUAAUUGGCUCAUCUCAGCUAUCUCAGCCUCUGUACUCGGACUCUGAGUCUUACUCAGUUUGGUAUUGCUUUGGAUCGGUAAAUCUCCUUUCUUGGAAUUCUCCAUGUUGAACCUUUUCAACACCUUAUCCAAGUAGAUACUCUGACUAAGUCCAAUUAGUCUUCUACUCCUUUCUCUUAAUAUCCUUAUCCCUAGGAUAUAGGUAGCCUCCCCUAGGUCCUUCAUAGCAAAGCACUUCCCAAGCCAGGACUUAACCUCCUGCAAGGUUGGGAUGUCAUUUCCUAUGAGUAGUAUGUCAUCCACAUACAGUACCAAGAAGCUAACUAUACUCCCACUAGCUCUGACAUACACGCAAGACUCAUCUUCGCUUCUCAAGAAGCCAAACUCUUUUACCUUCUCAUCAAAACAAAGAUUCCAGCUACGAGAUGCUUGUUUUAAUCCAUAAAUGGAUUUCUUAAGCUUGCAUACUCUAUUAGGGUACUCUGCAUUGACAAAACCCUCUGGCUGAUUCAUGUACACAUCCUCAGCCAACUUUCCAUUAAGGAAAGCGGUUUUGACAUCCAUUUGCCAUAUUUCAUAAUCAUGAAAUGCUGCAAUGGCUAACAUAACCCUAAUAGACUUAAUCUUGGCCACCGGCGAGAAGGUUUCAUCAUAAUCAAUACCUUGAGUUUGAGUAAAACCCUUCGCAACCAGUCGAGCCUUAUAAGUAUGCACUUUUCCUUCCAUGUCGGUCUUCUUUUUGAAGAUCCAUUUGCACCCGACUGUUUUACGGCCUGGUACAUUGUCAACCAAGUUCCAAACUUGAUUGUCAUACAUGGACUGUAUCUCGCUGUCCAUAGCCUCCUUCCAUUUAGCAGACUCCGGGCCUGCCAUGGCUUCCUUAACACUGCUAGGUUCAUCCAAAUUUACUAGUGUACUAUCACUAAUAAACGUAUCACCUUCCGUAGUAAUAUGAAAACCAUAAUAAAACGAAGGUGUGUUCCUAACCCGUGUGGAACGUCUCGGAGGUACAGACUCGUCAGCUGGAUCAACAGGAGUUUCUUCCUCAGGUUGAUUGCUAGUGUCUGAGGUUCCUUCACCAAUUGAUUCUUGAAUUUCUUCAAGAUCAAUCUGCCUCCCACUGUCUCCUUGGCUUAUAAAUUCUUUCUCGCGAAAGAUCCCUCUUCGUGCUACAAAGACCACAUUCUCACUGGGUCUGUAGAAAAGGUAACCGAAGGAUUUCUGUGGGUAGCCGAUGAAAAUACACCUUUCACUUCGGGGUUCAAGCUUAUCAUGAGUUUCACGCCUCACGAAGGCUUCGCAACCCCAAAUUUUGAUGUGGUCCAAAUUGGGAACCUUCCCAGUCCACAUUUCAUGAGGUGUUUUGGUAACCUUCUUUGUAGGGACUAGAUUAAGGAUAUGGGCGGCAGUCUCUAAGGCAUACCCCCAAAAAGAGAUUGGUAACGAAACUCGACUCAUCAUAGAGCGAACCAUGUCCAACAAGGUACGAUUACGCCUCUCAGCUACACCAUUCAGCUGUGGUGUCCUGGGAGGAGUCAAUUGUGAGACAAUCCCACACUCCUUAAGAUAGUCAAGGAACUCGGUACUAAGAUACUCACCACCUCGAUCGGAUCGAAGCAUCUUAAUGUUCCUGCCCAAUUGAUUUUCUACUUCCUGUUUGAAUUCCUUAAACCUUUCAAAGGUUUCGGACUUGUGUUUGAUCAAGUAGACAUACCCAUAUCUACUAUAAUCAUCAAUAAAAGUCACAUAAUACCGAUUAGCGUCCCUUGUGGCGGUUUUGAAUGGCCCACAUACAUCAGUAUGUAUUAGGUCCAACAAACCUUCACCCCUCUCACAAGUUCCAGUGAAGGGUGAUUUUGUCAUUUUUCCAAGUAGACAAGAUUCACAACUAUCAUCUGAUUUGAGGUCAAAUGAUUCCAAGACUCCACUCUUUUGGAGUUGGUCUAUGCGUUUCUUGUUUACAUGUCCAAGACGACAAUGCCACAAUGAUGCUUUAUCUAGGCUAGUAGAAGAAUCAAUAUACAACACAUUAUUUCCUAAGUUGUCUACAAUCGACACAGUUUCAUACACGCCAUCACAAGGUAAUGCUUUAAAAUAAAACACAUUAUUAAAGAAAGCAUUAAUACCACCACAUUCAUUAUCAAACGAAAAGGUAAAACCUUGUUUGUACAAAGCAUGAAAAGAAAUAAUAUUCCUCGCCAUUUCAGACGAGUAUACACAUUUAUUCAAAUCUAAUUUUAACCCAUUAUUAAGCAACAAAGUAUAAACUCCAAUCUUGGAAACAGGUGAAGCCUUCCUAUUCCCCAUGAUUAAGUUUAUCUUCCCGUGCUCCACAUCCUCACUUCUUCUUAGGCCCUGCAAAUCAGAACAUAUGUGAAUACCACAUCCUGUAUCAAGCACCCAAGAGUUAGAAUAUGUUGAGUAAUUAGACAAUAUAGUGUAAAUACCUGCAUAGGUGGGUUUCACUUUCCCAUCCUUUAGAUCCUGCAAGUACUUAGGGCAGUUUCGCUUCCAGUGUGCCUUUUCAUGGCAAUAAAAGCAUUCAGCAUCCUUUGGAAUGGCAGAAGGAGUGACAGAACCGUUCUUAGUCUUGGAUGAGGAGCCUUCAAGAGACUUUCCCUUGGUACCCUUCGAAGGGUGCUUCCUCUUUUUCCCUUUGCCUUGCCCAAUAGCUAAAACAGGGGUAGAAGUUGGAGUAGGAGUAGUAGAGGUAACAACCGCUUUACCCUUAAGACCGGUUUCAGCGGUCUUCAAGAGUCCUUGAAGCUUGCUGAGGGUAACUUCCUCCUUGUUCAUAUGAUAUGUCAUUCGAAAAUGAUCAUAACAAGAAGGCAAGGAGUGCAAAAUGAUGUCAAUUGCUAACUCCUCGGGGAUGUUAACAUUCAGCUUCAGCAAACGGUCCACAUACCUUUGCAUCUUUUGCAUGUGGCCCGUGACGGAUUCACCGUCCUUCAUGCGGGUAGUUAUUAUGGAGGAGAUUAUUUCAUACCGCUCCUGACGAGCACUCUGAUGGUACCUUUCCAUCAAGUCUUGGUGCAUCUCAAAAGGGUAGAAAUCUUCAUAUGACUUUUGGAGCUCGGCUGUCAUCGUGGCCAUCAUGAUACAUGCCACCUUAGUAGCAUCUCUCUCAUGAGUCCUGAAUUCAGCGAUCUCCUCAGGAGUAGCAGUAGACUCAUCAAGUUCUUUUAACUCCUUAUCGAGGACAUAUUCCUUGUCCUCGUAACGAGUAACCAUCCUGAUGUUCCUAAUCCAAUCCAUGAAGUUGGAACCAUCAAAGAUGACCCUCCCACAAAGAUUCAUGAGAGAGAAAGAACCAGUUGGGUUAGAGCCUGAAGCAUUAGUGUUGGAAGACAUCUGAAAGAAGAAAGUAAGUUUAGAUUAGAUAUUUAGGAUCCUUAAUAAGACACCCAAAUGUAAUAUUAAGGCUAGGAUCCAAUCACAAUAUAUUACACUUAGAAGAGGGAUGCCGUAAUCUAAGUAAUAAUAUAUUUGAAAGGUAGGCGAAUGACGAUUCACCAAUUUCCACCAUGAAAACGAAAUGAUUAAUUAGGUUUAAUUGGAUUUGAAAUUCCUAGAUUCUUUUGAGAUUCAUUGAACUUUUCAAUGGCAUGUUUCAAUCUCGAUUGUGCCCUUCAAGUUUUGUGACUGGGAUGCCGAGGAUCACAAAACAAGGUGUGAAUAACCAUGCUAACUCACUUGGUACUCCUAAUAUUAUCACCUAAUCAAUGUGCCGGUUAACCACACACGCUCCAUUGAUCUAUGACAACAUUAAGUUACCCUUCGUGAUCCUUACUAGUCUAAUUAGUGUGCCGGUUAACCACACACGCUCCACUAACGACUUGGUAAGGUACAAAGUGUGAAUUCCAUGGAUUAGCACCAUGUUCACAUUUUCCUAAAAUAACUAAGAUUGGGAAUUAAAAGAGUUUAGUUAUUUUAUAAUAUUCAUUAUACUUUUAAUGAGGAUUUAAAGUCGUUGUUCUACCCGUUCGGCUAACGACCCUCCACCGAUCAAGCAAGCGGUGGGUGAGAGUAUACACCCAUUAAGUCGCCAUUUUAUAGGCAACAACCUUAUACCCACCUUAUAGACCGGCUUCGUGAAUGAGGCCUACUAACGGUAAAACGACUUAUUCUUAUACAUAUAUAUAAUAAUUAACCAUUAAUGUUAUAAAUAGUAUAAGGGUUGAAUUUUAACUAUUAAAACUCUAAGGUUUGGAAUUAAAGUUUAUUAAAGUGUGUGAAACUUUACAAAUUCCAAAACUUGAGGACAAGUUUUGUAACUUUGCAAAACUCUUCAUUUCAUAACUUAUGAAUUAAAGGUUCAUAAAAAUGAAGACUCUUCAUUUUCAUGUAACUUAUGUGUUUUAAGUGUGUGUUAAAUGAAAGUGACCUUUGGUAAUCCAUAACUUGAGGACAAAUUAUGGACUCCAUUAAAACACAUAAAUGAUUAAGAAUUAAUUCUAAACAAUUCAGCAAAUAAUUCCUAUCAUUUUCUAAAUUCAUAAGAACAUGAACAUGAUCAUCAAAAAUUCAAGAAUUAUAUGAACACAUAAAAUCAUGGAUUUUUGAUAUAUGCUAUUGUAAAUGGAUUAGAACAACCAUUACACCAACUAAAAUAAGUUUUACAACACCAAAACAAUUUAGGGUAAUGUUUCCAGUCCAUUUCCAGCAGCAAAAGUCGAGAUUCUGCAUUCUUUCGAUCCUACUCGCCGAGUGCACGAACGGACUCGUCGAGUAGGUUGAAGUUUGCCUUGGACUCGGCGAGUCCCCCCAAUGGACUCGGCGAGUCUAGCAUGCAGACAGCAACGAUUUCGACUUUUUUCACUAUUUUGCAUCAAGUAUCAAACAAGCAAGCCUAGGCUCUGAUACCACUGUUGGGUUUUGAGCAAUCUAACACUUCCUAAGUGUGCAUGCAACCCUAAUAAACCUUGGAUCUAUGUUUGUCUAAAUACAUGCAAAAUAAUAAUUUUCCAAGGUUUAUAACCUAUCUAACAUGGCAUGGGGAACAUUUCAACAUAAAAGAGUUAGAAGAGAUUACAUACCUUUGUUGUGUUGGGUUCUUAGGAGUUUGAGGGCCAAGCACCAAUAGUGUGAAUGCCUCAAAUGGAAUCACAAACACCACAAACUCUUGGAAAACUUUGAGAGAGUAUAUACACCUUGUAUAAAUCGGCCACACACAUGCACACACACACUAGAUCACUAGCUUUCUCUUAGUGUAUCUUAGGCUUCAUUUCAUGCUCCAUAAGCAUGCUUAUAUAGUAUGCAUGGUUAGGGUGAAACCCUAAUAACCCAUGUCUUUUCCUUUUCCAAGGAUCCAUGGGUUAAAAGCUCCAUGGAUCAUCCAUGGACUUCCACAUAAGCCUAGCCCAUUAACAAAUGAGUAUUAGCCCACACUAUAUAAAACAAAUAGCCCAUAAUUUAAUUAGUAUUCCUUUUAAUCUCUAAAUUAAUCCAUAAUUAAUUUAAGACUAAAACUAAUUAAAUAACGUAACUUCAUAUUAAUAUAUUAUAACUCAUAAUAUAUUAAUAAACAUAUGUGUAUAACUCUCAUAAAAUUAUCCAUAAUAGUUUGGAUGAGAUGCAACCCAAAUGGACCAUGCCGGUCGGGUCAAGUAUAUACCAAAUAAGUUAUGGACUUAGACACCUUAUCCAACAACAACAUCCUCACUACUGGUUCAAA
rnacentral:lncRNA from 1 species